AUUGAACGCUGGCGGUAUGCCUAACACAUGCAAGUCGAACGAGGUAGCAAUACCUGGUGGCGGACGGGUGAGGAAUACGUAGGGAUCUGCCCUUAAGUGGGGGAUAACCCGGGGAAACCCGGAUUAAUACCGCAUGAUCUCGCAAGAGCAAAGAGGGGGACCGCAAGGCCUCUCGCUUUUGGAGGAACCUACGUCGGAUUAGCUAGUUGGUGAGGUAACGGCUCACCAAGGCGACGAUCCGUAACUGGUCUGAGAGGAUGAUCAGUCACACCGGAACUGAGACACGGUCCGGACUCCUACGGGAGGCAGCAGUGGGGAAUAUUGGACAAUGGGCGAAAGCCUGAUCCAGCAAUACCGCGUGUGUGAAGAAGGCCUUCGGGUUGUAAAGCACUUUAAGUUGGGAAGAAAAAGCUUCACCUAAUACGUGGAGCCUUGACGGUACCGACAGAAUAAGCACCGGCUAACUCUGUGCCAGCAGCCGCGGUAAUACAGGGGGUGCUAGCGUUAAUCGGAUUUACUGGGCGUAAAGCGUGCGUAGGCGGUUUGAUAAGUCGAUUGUGAAAGCCCCGGGCUCAACCUGGGAAUUGCGGUCGAUACUGUCAGACUCGAAAACGGUAGAGGGAGGCGGAACUCCAGGUGUAGCGGUGAAAUGCGUAGAUAUCUGGAAGAACACCGAUGGCGAAGGCAACCUCCUGGGCCUGUUUUGACGCUGAGGCA
rnacentral:rRNA from 1 species